UUUGUCACUCUAUAUUUGAACUUGGGUCAACGGUGCGAGAGCUUGUCGAACGGAGAGGCAGAAAGAGGUUGGAGACCAGAUCUUGCUGGUGGUGAAGCGGGCGAGCUUCUAUAGAUUAAACAUGGAAGUAAAGGAUGCGAUGAGUACUCCUGUUCGUGAAUAUCUUGACGGAUCGGAUAAUUAUGUGGAUUGGAGUAUUCAAGUACAAACCUAUUUGAUGGCUAAAGAUCUUUGGGACACAAUUGAAGCAACCACCAAACCUCCUAAACAGGAAGAUGAUGAAGCUGCUUUCAAGGCUUGGAGCAACAAGAAUUACUUGGCUUUACGUGUGAUCAAGAAUUCAUGCCAGCCGAACACAUUUUCUGAGAUUGGGGAGAUUAGUUAUUGCUAAAGUUGCAUGGAAUACUUUGGCAGAAAAGUACCUCCCUAAAGAUACUAGCUCAGAUGUUAUUCAAGUUCUUAACAAAGAUAAUUAUGAGGAUUGGAGUGUUCAAGUAAAAGACUAUUUGAUGACCCAUGAUCUUUGGGACAUAGUUGAAG